UACAGAGGUGGCAAGCGUUGUUCGGAAUUACUGGGCGUAAAGGGCUCGUAGGCGGCCAACUAAGUCGGACGUGAAAUCCCUCGGCUUAACCGGGGAACUGCGUCCGAUACUGGAUGGCUUGAGUUUGGGAGAGGGAUGCGGAAUUCCAGGUGUAGCGGUGAAAUGCGUAGAUAUCUGGAGGAACACCGGUGGCGAAGGCGGCAUCCUGGACCAACACUGACGCUGAGGAGCGAAAGCCAGGGGAGCAAACGGG
rnacentral:rRNA from 1 species